GCCAACGGCCAUACAAUGUUGAGUACACCGGUUCUCGUCCGAUCUCCGAAGUUAAGCAACAUCGGGCGUGGUUAGUACUUGGAUGGGUGACCACCUGGGAACACCACGUGCUGUUGGCU
rnacentral:rRNA from 1 species